AGAGGAAUCAUCCAGGAGCUCUCAUCAGUCGAGAAUAUGGCAGAAGUGGACCUGAGAAGCCUGGACAGCCUUCUAAGUGCGAAGGAAAAAGACUUCAUGUGCGAGAGUCUACAGCCCUCGUGAUGGAAAACAAGUGAGAGUGACAAGACGGCGAGCGUUGUUGGUGCCAGGCAGCAGCCGUCCAUCUGGGAGCAGGACAGCUGUUACUAUCGCUGAGAUAAGUAUCUCUUUUGCUGAGGGUUCUGCUCCUCCAGGUAGGGACACCCCAUUAGCUGGGGCUGGGUUUGUAAGAAAAGGUUCCGGAGUAGCUGUCGUUAUGAGGGAGACAAGGUCCCCAUUUUCAGGGGCUGGUCAGUUCUCUGGCCAGUAGCAGUGUGUCCUCUGCAGUGGAAGUUAGAUCCGGGAGGAUGACUGCAGGUGGAAAGUUGCUUGCCAUCCUCUCAUGUUUCUCUCUUUCUUUUCUACUGUGUUGGCCAACAUUCUCUCUCUCUCUGUCCGUCUGUCCUUGCCUUUCCUUGUGCUGUCUUCCUUCGUAGCACACAGGCAGGCGUGCUUGGCCUAUGUAUUAGGAGCCAUGAAGAAGUAGAAGGGGAUGAAAAUAAUGCAGAGUAAUGGGCACGAGAGCGGAGUGGUGACUGUCGGUGUUAACUCGGUCUCUGUUCAUCGAGUGGGGCUGAUGUAGAUGGGAUGGAAGAGGGAGGUGGGGAUGAGGGCAAGAUUUCAUGCACCAAUUGAAUUUUGUGUAGUGAUGGCUUUUGCUUGGGUUACUUGCUGCAUUUGCAGAGGAAUCAUCCAGGAGCAGCAGCCAGAGGAGAAAUUGGCAGACAUGGACCUGAGCAGCCUGGACAUCCUUCUAAGCAGAGAUUAACAGGCCUCAACUUUCUACCUUCCACAUAACGGGGUGUGAGUAAGCGUACCAAUAGAAAAGAAGUGGAGGGUCAGUGUCCGCUCCUCUCCUGCGAUGGAAAGCGAGUGAGAGCGAUGAGAUAGCAAGCAUUAUUGAUGCCAGUCAGCUGCUGAGAAAUCGGGCGAGGAGGCUCCGGCAGCG